GACGUAGGGUGCAAGCGUUGUCCGGAUUUACUGGGCGUAAAGAGCGCGUAGGCGGUCUGUUAAGUGUAGAGUGAAAUCUCCAGGGCUCAACCCGGAAACUGCUCUGCAUACUGGCAGACUUGAGGGUCGAAGAGGUUUAUGGAAUUCCUGGUGUAGCGGUGAAAUGCGUAGAUAUCGGUAGGAACACCAAUGGCGAAGGCGGGUCUCUGGACAGUUCCUGACACUGAGGCACGAAGGCCAGGGGAGCAAACGGG
rnacentral:rRNA from 1 species